AUGUCUUAUAUUCAUGGAAAUAUCUGAAACAUAAGAACACACUGUUAAAUGUAGCAGAAAUGCCCAAGUUUUGCUUGAAAUGUAAAAAAUAAUGGAAUUUUGAAAUUUUCAAGGACUGUUUAGCAUUUUUACUUCUUCGGAAGGUACAACAAAAAUUUGCGUAACUCGCAUAUGGUUUUACAGUGAAGACGAACGAAAUAUUGAUCUGGUUACAAAUAUUUUCGGACACACGCACACACACAAAAAAAAUGUAACAUCUUAGUUUAAACGCAUUUCUCAAAAGGAAAUAUACAAAGAAUGUGGAUUCUAUAAAAGACAGCUACCGGGUUCUUUCUUAGUACGUUUCGUUCUUUCGCGUCGGUUUUUUUAUUAACAUACUUCGUACAUUGAAAUGAUGGCUAGACAAAGACUUGGAGACGUGAAACAGAAAUCAGGAAUUUAUGGAGAAAUGCAAGUCCUUUAUCCAGUUCUGGAAUUUACAGAGUGUUUUAACCAUGGAUUUGCCAUCAUUUACCAAGAUUAAAGAAAUGGAUAUAAUCCUGUUUCUAUAAAUCUCUGUGAGAGAGACUACUGUGAACUGCUUUCUCUGGCUGAGAUUAUUAACAAAAUGUUGUUACUUCAAUGCCUGGGAUAUAUAAACUUGGAUUACAAAGAGGUUUGCAGCAUUUUCAGAUGCUGACUUUGUUCACAAUUGAUGGAGAUAUAAUAAAGCAAAUAUUUGUUAGGAAUAAAGUUUAUGAACAUAAGGAAGAAAAAUAUCAGAAAAAUUAUGGAAAACAAAUUGUGUGUUGACAAUAUUAAGUGUGAAUCACAGUUUGA